rnacentral:rRNA from 1 species
GACGAACGCUGGCGGCGUGCUUAACACAUGCAAGUCGAACGGUAAGGCCCUUCGGGUACGACGAGUGGCGAACGGGUGGAGUAACACGUGAACAACCUGCCCUUGACUCUGGGAUAACAGUUGGAAACAGCUGCUAAUACCGGAUACGAGCCUGCAAGACAUCUUGCGGGCUUGAAAGCUCCGGCGGUCAAGGAUGGAUUCGCGGCCUAUCAGCUUGUUGGUGAGGUAACGGCUCACCAAGGCUUCGACGGGUAGCCGGCCUGAGAGGAUGAUCAGCCACACUGGAACUGAGACACGGUCCAGACUCCUACGGGAGGCAGCAGUGGGGAAUAUUGGACAAUGGGCGCAAGCCUGAUCCAGCCAUACCGCGU